rnacentral:other from 1 species
AUUCCCCUGCCUUGUGCGUGAUAGACCUUUUUUAAACCUACAUUUAUAAUAAGGGACGCUCAUCUCGAUGUGUGAAUUGCAGGCCUCCCGCGCGCUUGCGCGCGGAAGUUGGAAGCAGCGAAGCAUGUCGGAGGCAACCCACCUGCAUAAAAUGCAGGGUUAUAAAUGGGUCUACACGGCACGGUGGGGGCGGG